GACUGUAAUUCUGAAGGCAUGCAAGCAAAUAGCUCAACCACAUGUACUUAUGAAGAGAUUGGAAGAAUAAAUGACGGACAAAUUUAUCAAAAUGUUAGCAAAAACAAAAAAGAUCCACUGGGGAUACAAGAUGUUUCAACUAUGUAUGCAAAUAUGAACAUUUGAAUGGGAAAGGUGUACUUAACAGGUUACUUGCCAUAUUAAAUUGAUGACUUAUAUUAUGAUUAACUAACUGAU